AACGAACGCUGGCGGCAUGCCUAACACAUGCAAGUCGAACGAUGCCUUCGGGCAUAGUGGCGCACGGGUGCGUAACGCGUGGGAAUCUGCCCUUGGCUUCGGAAUAACAGUUAGAAAUGACUGCUAAUACCGGAUGAUGUCCCCCUGAGAGAUCUUGGGGACCAAAGAUUUAUCGGCCAGGGAUGAGCCCGCGUAGGAUUAGGUAGUUGGUGGGGUAAAGGCCUACCAAGCCGACGAUCCUUAGCUGGUCUGAGAGGAUGAUCAGCCACACUGGGACUGAGACACGGCCCAGACUCCUACGGGAGGCAGCAGUGGGGAAUAUUGGACAAUGGGGGGACCCCUGCCCCAGCAAGGCCGCGGGAGUGAUGAAGGCCUUAGGGUUUUAAAGCUUUUUUACCAGGGAUGAUAAGGACAGUCCCUGGAAAAUAAGCCCCGGCUAACUCCGU
rnacentral:rRNA from 1 species